rnacentral:rRNA from 1 species
GAUGAACGCUAGCUACAGGCUUAACACAUGCAAGUCGAGGGGAAACGGCAUUGAGUGCUUGCACUCUUUGGACGUCGACCGGCGCACGGGUGAGUAACGCGUAUCCAACCUUCCCAUUACUGUGGGAUAACCUGCCGAAAGGCGGACUAAUACCGCAUAGUCUUCGAUGACGGCAUCAGAUUUGAAGUAAAGAUUUAUCGGUAAUGGGUGGGGAUGCGUCUGAUUAGCUUGUUGGCGGGGUAACGGCCCACCAAGGCAACGAUCAGUAGGGGUUCUGAGAGGAAGGUCCCCCACAUUGGAACUGAGACACGGUCCAAACUCCUACGGGAGGCAGCAGUGAGGAAUAUUGGUCAAUGGACGAGAGUCUGAACCAGCCAAGUAGCGUGCAGGAUGACGGCCCUAUGGGUUGUAAACUGCUUUUGUAUGGGGAUAAAGUCAAUCACGUGUGAUUGUUUGCAGGUACCAUACGAAUAAGGACCGGCUAAUUCCGUGCCAGCAGCCGCGGUAAUACGGAAGGUCCGGGCGUUAUCCGGAUUUAUUGGGUUUAAAGGGAGCGUAGGCCGGAGAUUAAGUGUGUUGUGAAAUGUAGACGCUCAACGUCUGACUUGCAGCGCAUACUGGUUUCCUUGAGUACGCACAACGUUGGCGGAAUUCGUCGUGUAGCGGUGAAAUGCUUAGAUAUGACGAAGAACUCCGAUUGCGAAGGCAGCUGACGGGAGCGCAACUGACGCUUAAGCUCGAAGGUGCGGGUAUCGAACAGG